GGUUUUCUCAUUUUUACAGUGUCAGUAAGGUACUUGUUUUCAUAUAGUCAAAGGCUUGGACAGGGACUCACAUGAUUUACCUUUUUGUUUCCAGAAAGGUUCUUACUCUGCGACAUAGAUUGAGCACUGGCUCUGCACAAGGAAUUAGGAGCCAAGAGAAUAAAGAAAAGGAGCUGCAGUUUCUGUUUUCAAGGAGCUCAUGAGGGACAUGAAAAGACCGGGUGUGACAAGGGCUAACCGAAAAGCACACACAUUAAGGCCUGUAGGAGUCGAGAAGAGGAAGUUUGGGGCUGCAUUGGAGAGGAAAGAUGUCCUUC
rnacentral:lncRNA from 1 species